CCUGGCUGAACCCCAACUCUGCUACGUGCUGGACGCCGUCCUCUUCCUCAUCAUCCUCAUCCUCAGCGGGCUCUACCUUCGCCUCAGGCUCUCGAUGAGAGGAGCGGCUCGGAAGCCCCCCGAGGUCGAGCCCGUUUAUGCCGGUCUCAGCUCCGAUCACCCCGACACCUACGAGACCCUGCAGAUGAAACGUCCCUGACCCCCCCG